CCCGAGCCUCUCCUCACCCGAACCUUCUUCUCCCCUCUCUGCCCCGAUGCGACCCCAACCUCCCUCGGUUCCUCUCGCUGUCGUCGCCGAUCGCCACAAGGUCAGCGCCGGCAGGGGUCUUCUUCUCCGGAGCCUCACGAAUGUCAGGUUCCAUAGCUACUAGCGGUCGAUUCUCUCUGCCCCAACGACCGAUUCUCUUUGUCUCUCUCGCGGCCGGAUCUGUGGCGAUUGUCGAUAUCGCCGGAGGAGAUCGUUGCCGGAGCUUGCCGGAGACCGAACCAGGAGGCUCGGAUCAUCCUGAUAUACUAUUCUCAAGUUUUCCUCGAGCUUUCCUCCCGGUUCUACCAAACCUUUCUUCCCCGAUUCGAUGCCCUAGGUCGAUCCUUUGCCAUCCAAUCGCCGGCUUGAAGAUGCCCUAGGGUUUCGAUGGGGCUACGGGAUUGAAGAGAAGGAGGGAGGUUUGUUCUUCUUGUUCUGAUCGAGAGGUGAAUCCAACAGUGAGGUUCUGGUUUGAUCAGUGAGGUGUGCUCGGGAUCUCAACAAGGUUGAGUGCUGAGGAUUUACAAGCAUGGCUAUGAGCUAAGAGGCACUGUCUUAGGGAUGUAGAUCUUGGGUUGAUCUUGCCGGCAACAUGCACACCAGCAUCAUCAGUGGCUUUGGAUCAAGAACAGGGGUUUGAAUUUGAGGACUCUGAUUUGAGACAGGCGUCUCGACGUUGGAUUUAGCGUGAUUGUACCUUCUAUUUGAGGCGGGUACCCUUUGACUUA